rnacentral:rRNA from 1 species
UGGGGAAUAUUGGACAAUGGGGGCAACCCUGAUCCAGCCAUGCCGCGUGAGUGAUGAAGGCCUUCGGGUUGUAAAGCUCUUUUGGCGGGGACGAUGAUGACGGUACCCGCAGAAUAAGCCCCGGCUAACUUCGUGCCAGCAGCCGCGGUAAGACGAAGGGGGCAAGCGUUGUUCGGAAUUACUGGGCGUAAAGGGCGCGUAGGCGGUUUGCUUAGUCAGGCGUGAAAGCACUGGGCUUAACCUGGGAUGUGCGCUUGAUACUGGCAGGCGUGAGUGUGGGAGAGGUUGGUGGAAUUCCCAGUGUAGAGGUGAAAUUCGUAGAUAUUGGGAAGAACACCGGUGGCGAAGGCGGCCAACUGGACCACAACUGACGCUGAGGCGCGAAAGCGUGGGGAGCAAACA